UACGUAGGGUGCAAGCGUUAAUCGGAAUUACUGGGCGUAAAGCGUGCGCAGGCGGUUUCGUAAGUCUGUCGUGAAAUCCCCGGGCUUAACCUGGGAAUGGCAUUUGGGACUGCAAGGCUCGAGUGCGGCAGAGGAGACUGGAAUUCCUGGUGUAGCAGUGAAAUGCGUAGAUAUCAGGAGGAACACCGAUGGCGAAGGCAGGUCUCUGGGCUGACACUGACGCUCAUGCACGAAAGCGUGGGGAGCAAACAGG
rnacentral:rRNA from 1 species